CAACAUAUUUCAAACCUUACCUUAUUUCUUCCGAGCUCUAAUCCCGUCACCAUGUGCUCCCUGUGUUCCUUACUGCUAAUAACGGUCUUGCUGCCUGGAACUAAUGGUAAAGAUUCGGUGACCCAGGAUCCCCCUGAAUUAAAGGUUCUGGAAGGACAGAACAUAAAACUGGACUGUAAUUACACAGCAGCUGUUGCCCCAAAUCUGUUCUGGUACAUCCAGUAUCCCAGGGAAGCUCCGAUAUAUUUAAUGAGGAUAUACACCUUGGGGAAAGCAGAUAAGUCUCCUGAUUUCCCAGACAGGUUCUCUGCUGAUUUGCACAAAGGAAACAAAACGGUUCCUUUAAAUAUCGCCGGGGCCCUUCUCUCCGACAGCGCCGUGUAUUUCUGUGCCAUGGAGCCCACGGUGCUGCAAAGAUAUAGCAGAUGCCAUACAAAAACCCCACGGGGAGUUCCCGUUAGUGUUCAGAAGAGGGCGUUCUCGCAUCGAUAA